CCUACGGGAGGCAGCAGUGGGGGAUAUUGGACAAUGGGGGGAACCCUGAUCCAGCGACGCCGCGUGAGUGAAGAAGUAUCUCGGUAUGUAAAGCUCUAUCAGCAGGGAAGAAGAAAUGACGGUACCUGAGUAAGAAGCCCCGGCUAACUACGUGCCAGCAGCCGCGGUAAUACGUAGGGGGCAAGCGUUAUCCGGAAUUACUGGGGGUAAAGGGAGCGUAGACGGUGAUGUAAGUCUGGAGUGAAAGGCGGGGGCCCAACCCCGGACUGCUCUGGAAACUAUGUGACUGGAGUGCAGGAGAGGUGAGCGGAAUUCCUAGUGUAGCGGUGAAAUGCGUAGAUAUUAGGAGGAACACCAGUGGCGAAGGCAGCUUACCAAUCUAUAUCUGACGUUGAGGCACGAAAGCGUGGGGAGCAAACAGGAUUAGAUACCCGGGUAGUC
rnacentral:rRNA from 1 species